rnacentral:sRNA from 1 species
AGCUGGGUACAUUGCUCAGAAGAUAGGCCUGCCCGUCCGUCUGGUCGUGGCAGUGAACGGCAAUGACAUCAUCCACAGGACUGUCCAGCAGGGAGACUUCUCUCUCUCUGAGGCUGUUAAAUCAACCUUGGCAUCAGCUAUGGACAUUCAGGUGCCCUACAACAUGGAGAGGGUAUUCUGGCUGCUCUCUGGCUCUGACAGCCAGGUGACAAGAGCCCUCAUGGAGCAGUUUGAAAGGACCCAAAGUGUGAAUCUGCCCAAGGAACUGCACAGCAAGGAAUCUAAUUGGGAAGGAUUGUUUGUAUUUUAAUGCAACCUGUUGAUAGUACUUAUUCUGUGUUUAAAAAAAAAAAAAGGAUUUCUG